UACGGGGGGGGCAAGCGUUGUUCGGAAUUACUGGGCGUAAAGGGUUCGUAGGUGGCCAACUAAGUCAGACGUGAAAUCCCUCAGCUUAACUGGGGAACUGCGUCUGAUACUGGUUGGCUUGAGUGCAGGAGAGGAAUGCGGAAUUCCAGGUGUAGCGGUGAAAUGCGUAGAUAUCUGGAGGAACACCGGUGGCGAAGGCAGCCACCUGGCAUCAUACUGACGCUGAGGCGCGAGAGCGUGGGGAGCGAACAGG
rnacentral:rRNA from 1 species